AAUAAAUUCAGCCAUUUACAAUUUAUUAUUACAUAUAACUUAAAUUACGGCAAUAAACGCCGCAAAGCGCCUAAUAAUAACAGCUGCUAAAAUACAGUGUAAAUAGGUGAAAUUUUACUUAUAAUUAGACAAACGAACUAUUGUUGAAUUUCUGCUUAAAAUGCAAUAUGAUGCCGGAAUGUCUCUUUCCAGUGCUUCACGAUAUUUUGGUCUCGCGGCAUUUCUACUUGGGCUGACAGCGGGAUCGGGACUAAGCGACCCAGAAUCAUCCGGCGGCAGGCUCUGUGAAACGGGAACAUUCUGGACGGCAGCUACGGGUGCGCCAGCUGUGACUGCUACCCGUGGGGUAUUGAGGAUAACGGAAUCCAUCCGACACCCUGUGACCAACGUACUGGACAAUGUGCCUGUCUUCCCGGCUUUGUCGGACGAACGUGCGAAGACUGCGCACCUGGCACCUACCAUCAUUCGGCGUUCCAUUGCGCUGAGUGCCGGUGCUCGCCUGGUGGCAGUGUAAACAAUGACUGCACUGAGCACGGUAUUUGCACCUGCAAAAACGCCAAUAUCAUCGGCGACUGGUGCGAUGCGUGUCUGGACGGAUUUUGUAACUUUCCAGUGUGCGAGCCAUGUGAAAGCAUCCUCAGCAGAAUACUCCUCAAUGCGUCGUCUGCGUUGAAACGCUCGGACCGGACGCCUCACGCUUGGUCGCGGAAGUUGGGUCGAUGGUAAGACAGAAAGCGGGCGAGGUCUGGGCGACGGAAGGCGAAUCAGCACCCAAAUCCAACGCGGGAAUGCGGUCUCUGUCAUGGGAAGAGCACCAGCAUUGGCUAAUUUAGACGAAACGUUCUGUUCUGCAUGUUUAGGCCGCCUAUUUUCGUUACCGUCUAAGACUGUCAUAAAAGAUCUUUUACUUUCAGUGAAAACUUGUAAAUGUUUUAUACCGUCAGAAAAAUAUAAAACU